rnacentral:lncRNA from 1 species
AGCCUCCUAUCCUUGACCGGCGACGACCUCACCGGGCACUUCGCCGGUGGAAGAUGACCGUUAGACCACCUCCGAGAAGUUUCCUCUCCCCAGAGUUUCGUUUCCCCAGAGUUUCUCUCUCUAGAAACUAUCCGUUGCGUCUCCGGUCUUCGCCUUUCCCCAGAGUUUCCCCUUCGAUCAAAACCCUCAAAACCGUCACGCUCGGAGGAUUCUUGGAUCAAAAUCGGGGAGGCAGCGGCAGAGGCUGCCGGUGUACGACUGUCGACCACCCAAGUACCACAGGUUCGGAAUCCUUGAUAGCCUCGCGAAAAAUUUUAUUCUUGCUUUUUUUUCCUUAUACUUCCGCUACCCUCUUCAAGAAGUGAGUUUUUCUUGGAGUUCUCUUUGAAAUCUUUCUUGCGAUGGAGUUAGGGCAUUUUGAUUUCUUUUCGUGUUCAAUGCUUCCGGUACUCUCUUCAAGAAUUGGGUUCUUGGAGUUCUGUUGAAAUCUUUGUUGCAAUAGAGCAGG